rnacentral:rRNA from 1 species
CGUAGGAACCUGCCGCGUCGUGGGGGAUAACGCUGGGAAACCGGCGCUAAUACCGCAUGUGGUCACGUGGAGACAUGUGAAGAAAGCAGCAAUGCGCGACGUGAGGGGCCUGCGGCCGAUUAGCUAGUUGGAGAGGUAAUGGCUCACCAAGGCGACGAUCGGUAGCUGGUCUGAGAGGAUGGUCAGCCACACUGGGACUGAGAUACGGCCCAG